CUGAUUUGGAGCCCAAAAAUAAUGAAAGGAAUUUUAAUUUAUAAAUAUUAAGUUUUAAUCUGGGUUUUACCAAAGAAUGGUCGUAUUUAGAAAGUUUCACAAUAUUACUAUUCCAUCGAUAGGCGCGCUAUCCAAGAAUACCGAAUAGAAGGUAAUUCAUUGUUUUCGCGUGUGCGCUAUUCGUCAUGAUUCAUCACUGAAAGAAUGUCUUAAACAAAAGCCAUCACUCCCCUGACGUAAGCGCUAUUUUGAAUGUUUCCAGGGGGUGACUGCUUCUGUUUAAGGCACUUGCUGAGUGACGAAUCACCAAGAAUAGCGCAUACGCAAAAAAAUCACAAUAGAGAUGUCCUUUUGUUUAGUAUACUGUCCCUUCAUGGACUUUCUGUGAGGUAUUCUUUGCUCGAACGUUAGAAAUUAUACGUAAGAUGCGAGUCAGCAGUCGUAUCAAUGACGUAGCACAGAAUAAUAUAUAGAUACAGAAAAGCAACACAUUGCGUUCAGCCCGAAGCCCUUUUGUUUAGCGUCCACCAUCUCCCU